GUUAUUUUCAAAACACUAUUUAAUUACAUGUUUUAUUUCCUUUAUUACCCAAGGGUUAUUUGGAAGAAUAUUGCUUAAUUUCCUGGUACUUGGAUUCUAUUAUUUAAUAUUUUUCUUAGUAAUGCUUUGUUUUGCUGGAUUAUGGUCAAAGAGAGUCUACAUUUAAGAACUUAUUGGAAUUUCUUUUACGACCAAAUAUAUUACCUUACUUUAUGAAUGUCUAAUGGCUGUCUUAUAGGGAUAUGAAUUAAGUUUUUGUAGACUAUGUGAAAAGCUUGUCGAUUGCAUUAUUUAAUUCCUUUAUUUGUGGGUCAGCUUGAUUAAUCAAAAUGCAUAAAAGAAAUGGUAAUGUCACUGUUCACUUUAUAGUCCUAUCAAUUUCUAAGAUUUUUAUUGUUCCUAUGGAGGGGCUGUUUCAUGCAGAACAUAAAUAUUCAUGAACCUUCUAUCUUCUUUGUGAUUCGCAUCUUGUCUUGAUAGAAUGUUCCGUAUUCUUCUUUAUUUGAUAUUAUUAUUGCCAUCCUGACUUUAGUUUCUGCUUUGUUUGGUUUUCCGAUCUUCGUCAUCCUUUUAAGGAGGAGCUCUGCGGGUCACUUUAUUCUAGGCCCGCCUUUCCUACACAACACACGCCACCAGAUUUCUGUGGACAAAACAGAAACCAUCUUACAUCUUCCAAGUGGAAAGGGAGUUAAGGCAGAAAGUCGGGUGCUUAUUGAGGCUUUAGGGGAAGAGGGGGAGAGGCUGGUGGCCUCCACCGGGUUAUGGAGCCCCACUUCCCACACAGGGGUCCGGAGGCUGCUGCCACCACCACCGCCGGGCCCGGCCUCCCGUCCUCACCUCCUUCCCUCCGAGUUCAAUCCGAGGGGACCCACUAGAGCUGAAUGGAGGCCGCUGCUGGCUCUGGUCCCCAGGGGCCCCGGGGGACAGUGUUUGGUUUAUGAGGAAGUUGGCCUCGUCUCCUUUGCCCGGCCCCGGGAGGUGUGGGAGGCGCCUCCUGCACAGCCCACCCCCCCCAGGAAGGGUGGGAGGUGACUCUGUUUCCCUCUCUCUUCCCCUUGCUGUGGUCGCCGGUCCUGACUGUCUUCCACGAAUCACAAGUCGUUGCACAACAUACGGAAGCCAAGCAGCUGGUUUCUGCCUUCCAGGAACGCGGGUCCCACGCGGAGAGGCGCCUGGCGCAGCCUUCCUGCCACGUCCCGCCUUGGAUGGCCGGCCCGCCGGGAGGGCCGCGGCCUGGGACCCCCGGUGUCGCCCGGGACGCCGCACAGCCCAUCUGCAGCACGACUCGGGGAAGCGCGAGUCUCGCGGCUCAACGGGGCACCUUGCUGGGUGGGCUGAGGGCGGCUUCCCAGCCCGGGGUGCGGGCAGAGGGUCCGCUGACCCACGAAGAGGCCCAGGCCUUGGACGGAGGAGGGGCCUUAUGGGCCUGACACCCGGUCGCCCGGCCUCACUAGCAGCCGCGGCGGCCGAGCUGGAGCACGUGGGGACCCACGGAAGCCAGCGGGCCGGGACGGUGGCCAGGACGGCUCCCACACCAACCUUUCCAGGUCACAGCGUGUCAUCUGCAAACCUAGUCUUACUUCUCCCUGUCUUGUUGCCCGUGCUAGAGCUUCUGGUACAUUCUAGAUUGGAACUGGGGAGAACAGAGCUUGUCUUGCUCCUGAGCUUAGCAGGAGAGCAUUUGGUUUCUCUCCACGAAGCCCGCCGCCAGCUGUGGAAUUUUCAAAGAUGUUCUUUCCCGGACGGAGGACGUUCCCGUCCGUUCCUCGAUUGUGCAAUGUUUCCAUCACAAGCAGCGUCGGAUUUGGUCAAACGCCUUGUCUGCACCUAUUAG
rnacentral:lncRNA from 12 species